GUGUUGCGUGAAAGGAAAGAUUAGUACUUCCCUUGAUAAGAAUGGAAGAAGUCCCGGGGUCCGUGUGACCUGCAUAGGGCUAAGGAACUGCCAUGUACUUUGUGGCACCUAACCAGCUUUCAUA
ensembl:snRNA